rnacentral:rRNA from 1 species
GAUGAACGCUGGCGGCGUGCCUAAUACAUGCAAGUCGAGCGAACAGACGAGGAGCUUGCUCCUCUGACGUUAGCGGCGGACGGGUGAGUAACACGUGGAUAACCUACCUAUAAGACUGGGAUAACUUCGGGAAACCGGAGCUAAUACCGGAUAAUAUAUUGAACCGCAUGGUUCAAUAGUGAAAGACGGUUUUGCUGUCACUUAUAGCUGGAUCCGCGCCGCAUUAGCUAGUUGGUAAGGUAACGGCUUACCAAGGCAACGAUGCGUAGCCGACCUGAGAGGGUGAUCGGCCACACUGGAACUGAGACACGGCCCAGACUCCUACGGGAGGCAGCAGUAGGGAAUCUUCCGCAAUGGGCGAAAGCCUGACGGAGCAACGCCGCGUGAGUGAUGAAGGUCUUCGGAUCGUAAAACUCUGUUAUUAGGGAAGAACAAAUGUGUAAGUAACUAUGCACGUCUUGACGGUACCUAAUCAGAAAGCCACGGCUAACUACGUG